rnacentral:rRNA from 1 species
GACGAACGCUGGCGGCGUGCCUAAUACAUGCAAGUAGAACGCUGAAGGAAGGAGCUUGCUCUUUCCGGAUGAGUUGCGGACGGGUGAGUAACGCGUAGGUAACCUGCCUGGUGGCGGGGGAUAACUAUUGGAAACGAUAGCUAAUACCGCAUCACAGUAGAUGUUGCAUGAUAUCUACUUAAAAGGUGCAAUUGCACCACUUCCAGGUGGGCCUGCGUUGUAUUAGGUAGUUUGUGAGGUAAACGCUCACCAAGGCGACGAUACAUAGGCGACCUGAGAGGGUGAUCCGGCCAACUGGGACUGGGACAACGCCCAGACCUCCACCGGAGGCAGGAGGAGGGAAUCCUCGGCAAGUGACGGAAGGCUGACCGAGCAACGCCGCGGGAGUUGAGAAGGGUUUCGGAUCGUAAAGCUCCGUUGUAAGAGAAGAAAGAGUGUGAGAGUGGAAAGUUCACACUGUGACGGUAUCUAACCAGAAAGGGACGGCUAACUACGUG